CAGAUUGAACGCUGGCGGCAUGCUUUACACAUGCAAGUCGAACGGCAGCACGGGGGCAACCCUGGUGGCGAGUGGCGAACGGGUGAGUAAUAUAUCGGAACAUGUCCGGAAGUGGGGGAUAGCUCGGCGAAAGCCGGAUUAAUACCGUAUAUGCCCUGAGGGGGAAAGGAGGGGAUCCGCAAGGACCUUUCGCUUUCGGAGUGGCCGAUAUCGGAUUAUCUAGUUGGUGGGGUAAAGGCUUACCAAGGCGACGAUCCGUAGCUGGUCUGAGAGGACGACCAGCCACACUGGAACUGAGAUACGGUCCAGACUCCUACGGGAGGCAGCAGUGGGGAAUUUUGGACAAUGGGGGAAACCCUGAUCCAGCCAUGCCGCGUGAGUGAAGAAGGCCUUCGGGAUGUAAAGCUCUUUCAGACAGAAGGAAACGGUUACGAUUAAUACUCGUGACUAAUGACGGUACUGUCAGAAGAAGCACCGGCUAACUACGUGCCAGCAGUCGCGGUAAUACGUAGGGUGCGAGCGUUAAUCGGAAUUACUGGGCGUAAAGCGUGCCCAGGCGGUUUUGUAAGACAGACGUGAAAUCCCCGGGCUUAACCUGGGAACUGCGUUUGUGACUGCAAGACUAGAGUGCGGCAGAGGGGGGUAGAAUUCCACGUGUAGCAGUGAAAUGCGUAGAUAUGUGGAGGAAUACCGAUGGCGAAGGCAGCCCCCUGGGUCGACACUGACGCUCAUGCACGAAAGCGUGGGGAGUAAACAGGAUUAGAUACCCUGGUAGUCCACGCCCUAAACGAUGUCAACUAGGUGUUGGGGAAGGAGACUUCUUUAGUACCGCAGCUAAUGCGCUAAGUUGACCGCCUGGGGAGUACGGUCGCAAGAUUAAAACUCAAAGGAAUUGACGGGGACCCGCACAAGCGGUGGAUUAUGUGGAUUAAUUCGAUGCAACGCGAAAAACCUUACCUACCCUUGACAUGCCAGGAAGAUUCCAGAGAUGGGAUUGUGCCCGAAAGGGAACCUGGACACAGUGCUGCAUGGCUGUCGUCAGCUCGUGUCGUGAGAUGUUGGGUUAAGUCCCGCAACGAGCGCAACCCUUGUCAUUAAUUGCCAUCAUUUAGUUGAGCACUUUAAUGAGACUGCCGGUGAUAAACCGGAGGAAGGUGGGGAUGACGUCAAGUCCUCAUGGCCCUUAUGGGUAGGGCUUCACACGUAAUACAAUGGUCGGUACAGAGGGUUGCCAACCCGUAAGGGGGAGCCAAUCUCAGAAGGCCGAUCGUAGUCCGGAUUGGAGUCUGUAAUUCGACUCCAUGAAGUCGGAAUCGCUAGUAAUCGCGGAUUAGUAUGUCGCGGUGAAUACGUUCCCGGGUCUUGUACAUACCGCCCGUCACACCAUGGGAGUGGAAUCUGGCAGAAGUAGGUAGCCUAACCGUAAGGAGGGCGCUUACCACGCUGGGUUUCAUGACUGGGGUGAAGUCGAAACAAGGUA
rnacentral:rRNA from 1 species